GAGUAAUUAGUUAAAAAAAUAACACAGGCUUGUCAGACCUGAAUUACAGUAAUGUAUAACUCA
rnacentral:tRNA from 1 species